rnacentral:rRNA from 1 species
CAGUCGCCGCGGUAAUACGUAGGGUGCAAGCGUUAAUCGGAAUUACUGGGCGUAAAGCGUGCGCAGGCGGUUAUAUAAGACAGAUGUGAAAUCCCCGGGCUCAACCUGGGAACUGCAUUUGUGACUGUAUAGCUAGAGUACGGCAGAGGGGGAUGGAAUUCCGCGUGUAGCAGUGAAAUGCGUAGAUAUGCGGAGGAACACCGAUGGCGAAGGCAAUCCCCUGGGCCUGUACUGACGCUCAUGCACGAAAGCGUGGGGAGCAAACAGGAUUUGAUACCCGUGUAGUCCCUGUCUCUUAUAC